UCAUCAUUUUAGGGGUUUGGGGGGGUCGGAACAUGUUUUGAUGGAAUGUUCAAGAUUCUUCAAGGUUUGGAUUCUACCAGCCUAUGUAGGCUGUGCUAAACGCAAAUUAAAAAAGGGCCUUCCUUCAAGAGCUUUCCAUUUAAAAUUGUGAUUAUCCAGGCUGUACCAGCAAGCCAGAUUCAAGCUUUGGCUCCUUACCAGCGGUGGUGCAGUGUGGGUGAGAGCAUGAGAACCUGCUGAAGGAGCUGUGGUCAGAGGCACCUCACACUGAAAUCCAGAACCAGUAGAGCAGCAACAGAACUGCCCAAGUCCUGGCCCCACCCCAGACCAAGGGAAGGAGAACCCAGGGAGCUGUCACAGAAGCAGUGGGCACCUGGAGCAGAGAAGCAAGAGUGUCACCGCUCAGGACCACAUUCAGCAUCUCAGCACCAAGCCGCCAGAGCUUUGAACUGUGUCUCUGAGUGCCUGUGCUUUUUGUGCAUCCACUAGCAAGAUGUGUCCUAAGGUACUUGCUUCUUCACUUAAAAAAGGUUUCAUAGGAAAGCUGUACUUUCAGAGAGUAGUGGAAACCAGCAGACUAUAUACAAUUUUUUUUUCCAUUAAUUACUACUUGUGGAAGGAUAAACAACCUUUCAGGAAAGUUAAAUGCCAAUAAAAGCCCUAAAAGCCUACAUAGCCAUUGUUUUCACUCCUAGGAAUGCAUCCUAAGAAAAUCACUAAAUACAAACAGAAAUUUAGCUACAAAGACAUUUAUCACAGUCUUGUUAUUAAUGGAGGAAAUUAAUUAAGCUAACAGUCCAAUCUAGAGGAGUAAGUAAAUGAACUACAAUAUAAUCCUACAGGGGAACACUAGAGAGCUAUUAAAAAUAACUUAGUUUAGCCUUAAGAACAUGCGAAGAUGCUGAUAAACUAUU